rnacentral:rRNA from 1 species
ACGGAAGGCAGCAGUGGGGAAUAUUGCACAAUGGGGGAAACCCUGAUGCAGCGACGCCGCGUGAGUGAAGAAGUAUUUCGGUAUGUAAAGCUCUAUCAGCAGGGAAGAAAAUGACGGUACCUGACUAAGAAGCCCCGGCUAACUACGUGCCAGCAGCCGCGGUAAUACGUAGGGGGCAAGCGUUAUCCGGAUUUAUUGGGUUUAAAGGGUGCGCAGGCGGUUUUUUAAGUCAGUGGUUAAAUCGCGGAGCUCAACUCCGUCCCGCCAUUGAUACUGGGAGACUUGAUUGCGGUCGAGGUUGGCGGAAUUCGUCGUGUAGCGGUGAAAUGCAUAGAUAUGACGAAGAACACCGAUUGCGUAGGCAGCAGACCAGGCCGUAAAUGACGCUCAUGCACGAAAGUGCGGGGAUCGAACAGGAUUAGAUACCCUGGUA